rnacentral:rRNA from 1 species
GACGAACGCUGGCGGCGUGCUUAACACAUGCAAGUCGAACGGAAAGGCCCUGCUUUUUUGGGGUGCUCGAGUGGCGAACGGGUGAGUAACACGUGAGUAACCUUCCAUUUACUUUGGGAUAACUUCAGGAAACUGGUGCUAAUACCUGAUAGGAGCUCCUGCUGCAUGGUGGGGGUUGGAAAGUUUCGUCGGUUGGGGAUGGACUCGCGGCUUAUCAGCUUGUUGGUGGGGUAGUGGCUUACCAAGGCUUUGACGGGUAGCCGGCCUGAGAGGGGGACCGGCGACAUUGGGACUGAGAGACGGCCCAGACUCCUACGGGAGGCAGCAGGGGGGAAUAUUGCACAAUGGGCGGAAGCCUGAUGCAGAAACGCCGCGUGCGGGAUGAAGGCCUUCGGGUUGUAAACCGCUUUCGCCUGUGACGAAGCGUGAGUGACGGUAAUGGGUAAAGAAGCACCGGCUAACUACGUG